rnacentral:rRNA from 1 species
AAUCCAUAGGUUAAUGAGGCGAACCGGGGGAACUGAAACAUCUAAGUACCCCGAGGAAAAGAAAUCAACCGAGAUUCCCCCAGUAGCGGCGAGCGAACGGGGAGGAGCCCAGAGCCUGAAUCAGCAUGUGUGUUAGUGGAAGCGUCUGGAAAGGCGCGCGAUACAGGGUGACAGCCCCGUACACAAAAGCGCAUGUGCUGUGAGCUCGAUGAGUAGGGCGGGACACGUGGUAUCCUGUCUGAAUAUGGGGGGACCAUCCUCCAAGGCUAAAUACUCCUGACUGACCGAUAGUGAACCAGUACCGUGAGGGAAAGGCGAAAAGAACCCCGGCGAGGGGAGUGAAAAAGAACCUGAAACCGUGUACGUACAAGCAGUGGGAGCACAGGUUUACCUGUGUGACUGCGUACCUUUUGUAUAAUGGGUCAGCGACUUAUAUUCUGUAGCAAGGUUAACCGAAUAGGGGAGCCGGAGGGAAACCGAGUCUUAAUUGGGCGUUAAGUUGCAGGGUAUAGACCCGAAACCCGGUGAUCUAGCCAUGGGCAGGUUGAAGGUUGGGUAACACUAACUGGAGGACCGAACCGACUAAUGUUGAAAAAUUAGCGGAUGACCUGUGGCUGGGGGUGAAAGGCCAAUCAAACCGGGAGAUAGCUGGUUCUCCCCGAAAGCUAUUUAGGUAGCGCCUCGUGAAUUCAUCUCCGGGGGUAGAGCACUGUUUCGGCUAGGGGGCCAUCCCGGCUUACCAACCCGAUGCAAACUGCGAAUACCGGAGAAUGUUAUCACGGGAGACACACGGCGGGUGCUAACGUCCGUCGUGAAGAGGGAAACAACCCAGACCGCCAGCUAAGGUCCCAAAGUCAUGGUUAAGUGGGAAACGAUGUGGGAAGGCCCAGACAGCCAGGAUGUUGGCUUAGAAGCAGCCAUCAUUUAAAGAAAGCGUAAUAGCUCACUGGUCGAGUCGGCCUGCGCGGAAGAUGUAACGGGGCUAAACCAUGCACCGAAGCUGCGGCAGCGACACUCAGGUGUUGUUGGGUAGGGGAGCGUUCUGUAAGCCUGCGAAGGUGGCCUGUGAGGGUUGCUGGAGGUAUCAGAAGUGCGAAUGCUGACAUAAGUAACGAUAAAGCGGGUGAAAAGCCCGCUCGCCGGAAGACCAAGGGUUCCUGUCCAACGUUAAUCGGGGCAGGGUGAGUCGACCCCUAAGGCGAGGCCGAAAGGCGUAGUCGAUGGGAAACGGGUUAAUAUUCCCGUACUUGGUGUUACUGCGAAGGGGGGACGGAGAAGGCUAUGUUGGCCGGGCGACGGUUGUCCCGGUUUAAGCGUGUAGGUGUGUGUUCCAGGUAAAUCCGGUUCACUUUAACACUGAGGCGUGACGACGAGGCACUACGGUGCUGAAGCAACAAAUGCCCUGCUUCCAGGAAAAGCCUCUAAGCAUCAGGUAACAUCAAAUCGUACCCCAAACCGACACAGGUGGUCAGGUAGAGAAUACCAAGGCGCUUGAGAGAACUCGGGUGAAGGAACUAGGCAAAAUGGUGCCGUAACUUCGGGAGAAGGCACGCUGACACGUAGGUGAAGUGAUUUACUCAUGGAGCUGAAGUCAGUCGAAGAUACCAGCUGGCUGCAACUGUUUAUUAAAAACACAGCACUGUGCAAACACGAAAGUGGACGUAUACGGUGUGACGCCUGCCCGGUGCCGGAAGGUUAAUUGAUGGGGUCAGCGCAAGCGAAGCUCCUGAUCGAAGCCCCGGUAAACGGCGGCCGUAACUAUAACGGUCCUAAGGUAGCGAAAUUCCUUGUCGGGUAAGUUCCGACCUGCACGAAUGGCGUAAUGAUGGCCAGGCUGUCUCCACCCGAGACUCAGUGAAAUUGAACUCGCUGUGAAGAUGCAGUGUACCCGCGGCAAGACGGAAAGACCCCGUGAACCUUUACUAUAGCUUGACACUGAACAUUGAGCCUUGAUGUGUAGGAUAGGUGGGAGGCUUUGAAGUG